AAUCAUACGCUUCAACGUAAGCUAACGGCGCCGCUACGAGUCACGACGAGGGAAUGUUACCCAGGCUGCAGAGCUGGAACGGAGUGUGCGCUGCUGCGGAUGACAACGCACUGGAGGGAGGUUCUUGCCUUCCGAGCUGUCACUCUCCGUGAGAAGCAGCGAGAGGAACGGGCUGUCUGCCUGAGGCGUGGGAUCCUCGCGACGCCGCCGAGGUUGGCUUAACCCGCUGCGGACCGGAAGCCUGUAAAGUCGAGCGCGGAAGUCUCAGAUUUAGCGGCCCGGCCUUUCUGGCAGGGUGAGGUGCUGUUUAGUCAACAGGAAGUGGGUUGUCGGCUGUUUUGUCGCCAGAGUCCCCAAAGCAAAACACGUGACAGAAAUGAGCUCCCUCCUGUCUUCGUGGCUUACUUACCCUUGGCAUCCGGAAUUUCAGAAAAAUACCUGCCUUUUCUCCAGUGAAGUUCCUCUUUGUAACACAGUUACCGAGCCAUAGUUUGCGGGGUUUUUUUCCCAUUAGGAUGCACAGUGACAGCAAUCGUAAAUGGCAUUUGAAAUUUAAACUACACAGAUUAUCCAGUAACAAAGGUUGCCAACAUUCAUAAUUAAGAAUAUUGUGGGGGUGAAUUAAUAUUUUCCUAUUUGUGACAAAUCUACUCUGUACCAGUGAGAGAUUCUGCACGUUUUUUCAGUGUGUAGCCUGCCUGGAGGCCUCUGAAAUACUGAGCACCGAACCACAGCCAUAAGUGUGGUAAUUCUUCUCUUUAGUGGCAGCGACUGCUGUGUCUACUCCAAAAGUCCCAGCAGCAAGAAGGCGCCCAGAGUAAUCUUAAUUAUCCCAUUGACAAACUCAAGACACCUUACCACAGAGAUGUCUUUAAAUGCAUAAGAUGAAAUAUAUAGGAUUAUACAGGAAGUAGACGGUUGAAAGAAUUAUAACAACUUAAUUUUUGUUGUAUUGCAAUAGUUUCAUAUAUGUAAGUAAUUACAUGUGUGCUCUUUUUAAAAUUAAAUAACAGAGCCAUCGUCAAGUCUAAUAACUAAUGUUAUUUUUAAAUUGGAAAACAAUUGUAAAUGGCAUUUGAAUAUAUCUAAACUACACACUUUAAUAACAAAGGUUGCCUGUGUUCAUAAUUAAGAACAUGUGGAGGAUGAAAAUAAUUUUUUCCUAUUCAAUCAUGGGCCCUGUGCAUUUCUAUGGUCUCCAGUUUAAGAGGCAGGUUCCUAGAAUCCCGUGUAUGCCAUUUGUUUCAAACCACAGCAUUUCCAUUGACUCCUCAUACUUUGCUCUAUGAGCAAAUAUAUUAAAAUAUAUUAAAUUGUAACUUGAAAGAA
rnacentral:lncRNA from 1 species